ensembl:snRNA U6 U6 spliceosomal RNA
UUGCUUACUUCAGCAGCACAUAUACUAAAACUGGAACGAUACAGAGAUUAGCAUGGCCUCUGCGCGAGGAUGACAUGCAAACUCGCAAAGCGUUCUGUAUUUAC